GGAAUCUUCCACAAUGGGCGCAAGCCUGAUGGAGCAACACCGCGUGAGUGAAGAAGGGUUUCGGCUCGUAAAGCUCUGUUGUUAGAGAAGAACGUGCGUGAGAGUAACUGUUCACGCAGUGACGGUAUCUAACCAGAAAGUCACGGCUAACUACGUGCCAGCAGCCGCGGUAAUACGUAGGUGGCAAGCGUUGUCCGGAAUUACUGGGUGUAAAGGGAGCGCAGGCGGGGAAGCAAGUCAGUGGUGAAAUGCAUGGGCUUAACCCAUGAACUGCCAUUGAAACUGUUUUUCUUGAGUGGAUCAGAGGCAAGCGGAAUUCCGAGUGUAGCGGUGAAAUGCGUAGAUAUUCGGAGGAACACCAGUGGCGAAGGCGGCUUGCUGGGGUCUAACUGACGCUGAGGCUCGAAAGUGUGGGGAGCAAACA
rnacentral:rRNA from 1 species